CUAUUACAGGUAGACUCCAGCCGAGCUACUCUGUAGCGAGUGGGCUCUAGACGAACUUCUACAGCGGGACACUACUCCGAGCUCCUACGACAAUUGAACUUCGACCGAGCUCCAACAAUAAGCGGCCCCUUUCGGCCUCCCACGAGAAUCGGACUCCGUCUGAGCUCCCACAGCAGAUGGAUUCCGGACGAGCUUUCGCAACAGACGGGCUCCAGCAGCUGGAUUUCUACAACAGUCGAUCGCCCCU
rnacentral:lncRNA from 1 species